GCGAAGAUGGCGGAAUUGGUAGACGCGAAAGCUUCUAAAGCUUUUAUUUAUACUAAAUGUGAUGAGUUCAAAUCUCUCUCUUCGUA
rnacentral:tRNA from 1 species